ACGGGAGGCAGCAGUGAGGAAUAUUGGUCAAUGGGCGAGAGCCUGAACCAGCCAUGUCGCGUGCAGGAGUAAUGCCCUAUGGGUUUUAAACUGCUUUUGACGGGGGAUAAAGUGGACCAUGCGUGGUCUAUUGCAGGUACCCGUCGAAUAAGGAUCGGCUAACUCCGUGCCAGCAGCCGCGGUAAUACGGAGGAUCCGAGCGUUAUCCGGAUUUAUUGGGUUUAAAGGGUGCGCAGGCGGCUGUUUAAGUCAGCGGUGAAAUGUCAGGGCUCAACCUUGGCACUGCCGUUGAAACUGGGCGGCUAGAGUGCGUUUGGGGUCACUGGAAUGUGCGGUGUAGCGGUGAAAUGCAUAGAUAUCGCACAGAACGCCGAUCGCGAAGGCAGGUGACCAAGCCGCAACUGACGCUCAUGCACGAAAGCGCGGGGAUCGAACAGGAUUAGAUACCCUGGUA
rnacentral:rRNA from 1 species